UCUUGAUUCGUCUAGUGGUUAGGAUACCUGCUUGUCAUCAGCUGGCAGUAGCGUUAGUAAAUUCGGCUAUAGACUCAAACGAGGACCGUAUACGCAGGUGGCCGGGGUUCAAUUCCCCGAUCGAGAG